rnacentral:siRNA from 1 species
UUGAAGAAGGAAUCAAUGCUAUGC